GGACGUAUGGCGCAAUGGAUAACGCGCUGGUCUACGGAACCAGAGAUUCCAGGUUCGACUCCUGGUACGUUCG